AACUUUCAACAACGGAUCUCUUGGUUCUGGCAUCGAUGAAGAACGCRGCGAAAUGCGAUAAGUAGUGUGAAUUGCAGAAUUCAGUGAAUCAUCGAAUCUUUGAACGCACAUUGCGCCCCUUGGUAUUCCAUGGGGCAUGCCUGUUCGAGCGUCAUU
rnacentral:rRNA from 1 species